UACGUAGGGUCCAAGCGUUAAUCGGAAUUACUGGGCGUAAAGCGUGCGCAGGCGGUUGGCAAAGUCAGCUGUGAAAGCCCCGGGCUUAACCUGGGAAUGGCGGUUGAAACUAGUCGACUAGAAUCUGGCAGAGGGGGGUGGAAUUCCACGUGUAGCAGUGAAAUGCGUAGAGAUGUGGAGGAGCACCGAUGGCGAAGGCAGCCCCCUGGGCUAACACUGACGCUCAGGCACGAAAGCGUGGGGAGCAAACAGG
rnacentral:rRNA from 1 species